GAUGAACGCUAGCGGCAGGCUUAAUACAUGCAAGUCGUGGGGCAGCAGGGGUAGCAAUACCCGCUGGCGACCGGCAAACGGGUGCGGAACACGUACGCAACCUUCCUUUAACUGGAGAAUAGCCCCUCGAAAGAGGGAUUAAUACUCCGUAACAUAUUGAUAAGGCAUCUUAUUAAUAUUAUAGCUCCGGCGGUUAAAGAUGGGCGUACGCCUGAUUAGGUAGUUGGUAGGGUAACGGCCUACCAAGCCAACGAUCAGUAACUGGUGUGAGAGCACGACCAGUCACACGGGCACUGAGACUACGGGCCCGACUCCUACGGGAGGCAGCAGUAAGGAAUAUUGGUCAAUGGACGCAAGUCUGAACCAGCCAUGCCGCGUGAAGGAUGAAGGUCCUCUGGAUUGUAAACUUCUUUUAUAUGGGACGAAACCCUCGGAUUCUUCCGAGACUGACGUACCAUAAGAAUAAGCACCGGCUAACUCCGU
rnacentral:rRNA from 1 species